AAGCGGCAGGAGACAAGGCCCAUGGGCUUUCAAGUCACUAGUGGUUCCGUUUAGUAGAUGGUUGUACAUUGUUUCAAAAUGGUACCCUAGUGACUACAAAGCCCCAGUGGCAGCAUCAUCACCAAUGAC
rnacentral:pre_miRNA from 8 species